CUCUUCUCUGAUGCUGCAGUUGGAAUCCACCCUGCCUUGGCCUCCCAAAGUGCUGGGAUUACAGGCAUGAGCCACUGCACCAGCCAGCAAUAACUUUCUAAACCUGACUUAGCCAUAUGCUGAGGUGGUCAUGUUUAUUAACAGCUGGAUAUAUUUGUCAAAACCUAUCAAAAGUAUUUUAAGAGGAUAAGUUUUAUUCUUUGUAAAGUGUAUCUCAAUAUACCUGGCUUUAAAAAUAAAUGAGUUAAUAAAAUUAUCCCCUCCUGAGUAGUCAGGUCUACAGGCACAUGCCACCAUGCCCAGCUAAUUGUUUUGUUUUUUAUUGAGAUGAGGUCUUGCUAUGUUACUUAGGCUGAUCUCAAACUCCUGGGCUCAAACAAUCCUUCUGCCUCAGCUUCCCAAAGUGCUGAGAUUACAGACAUGAGUCACUGCACUCAGCCUACUUGAGGAUCUUGAAUGCUCAGAUUCCCCAGAACUCCCUGGACCUGCAGAAGUGGCCCAGUCCCCCUUGUUGAAACAUAAAACCCCAUUUCCCCCUUCACUCUUGCUUGCUUGAAAGCUAUUCAGUAGCCUCAAAACAAGGCAAGUAACUUCCAGGAGGAUGCUGGCCCAUCUCAGGAUCUGCCCUCUACUACCUACCUGGCCACCAGACCCAUAACCCCUCUGGAAUCAAGGCUCAAGAGAGAAGUUUAAUGAUUUGCCCGGCACUUACACAGGUGAUGU
rnacentral:lncRNA from 10 species